CCUUGAAGUAGGGGAUAACACUUGGAAACAGGUGCUAAUACCGUAUAACAACCAAAACCACCUGGUUUUGGUUUAAAAGAUGGCUUCGGCUAUCACUUUAGGAUGGACCCGCGGCGUAUUAGCUUGUUGGUAAGGUAACGGCCUACCAAGGCAAUGAUACGUAGCCGACCUGAGAGGGUAAUCGGCCACAUUGGGACUGAGACACGGCCCAAACUCCUACGGGAGGCAGCAGUAGGGAAUCUUCCACAAUGGACGAAAGUCUGAUGGAGCAACGCCGCGUGAGUGAUGAAGGGUUUCGGCUCGUAUAACUCUGUUGUUGGAGAAGAACAGGUGUGAGAGUAACUGUUCACAUCUUGACGGUAUCCAACCAGAAAGCCACGGCUAACUACGUGCCAGCAGCCGCGGUAAUACGUAGGUGGCAAGCGUUGUCCGGAUUUAUUGGGCGUAAAGCGAGCGCAGGCGGUUUCUUAGGUCUGAUGUGAAAGCCUUCGGCUUAACCGGAGAAGUGCAUCGGAAACCAGGAGACUUGAGUGCAGAAGAGGACAGUGGAACUCCAUGUGUAG
rnacentral:rRNA from 1 species